rnacentral:RNase_P_RNA from 1 species
UCGUUGUGUGACUUCAUCGCUCCGGAACGCCGGAGAGGAAAGUCCGGACAACAUAGGGCACCGUACUUCUCAAAAGGAAGGCAUGCCUCUGGCAUGACAGAAAGUGCUAAAGAAAUUUAUACCGCCGAUGGCUCUUAGAGCACAGGUAAGGGUGAAAAGGUGAAGUAAGAGCUCACCAGCAGGAAAGUGAUUUUCUGGCUUAGGUAAACCUUGCGGGUUGCAAGAUCAUGUACACUAGCAUUUGAGGGCUGCCCGCUCGAGCUAGGGGGUAGAUUGCGCAGAUAGAUGAUGAAGCAUCUGAUUUUCGGAUGAACAGAAUCCGGCUUAUGAACGUGACGAAGUA